rnacentral:rRNA from 1 species
AUUGAACGCUGGCGGCAUGCUUUACACAUGCAAGUCGAACGGUAACAGGGAGCUUGCUCCGCUGACGAGUGGCGAACGGGUGAGUAAUGCGUCGGAACGUGCCGAGUAGUGGGGGAUAACGCAUCGAAAGGUGUGCUAAUACCGCAUACGUACUGAGGUAGAAAGUGGGGGACCUUCGGGCCUCACGCUAUUCGAGCGGCCGACGUCUGAUUAGCUAGUUGGUGAGGUAAAGGCUCACCAAGGCGACGAUCAGUAGCGGGUCUGAGAGGAUGAUCCGCCGCACUGGGACUGAGACACGGCCCAGACUCCUACGGGAGGCAGCAGUGGGGAAUUUUGGACAAUGGGCGCAAGCCUGAUCCAGCCAUGCCGCGUGUCUGAAGAAGUCCUUCGGGUUGUAAAGGACUUUUGUCCGGGAGCAAAUGCUGGCGGCUAACAUCCACCGGAGCUGAGAGUACCGGAAGAAUAAGCACCGGCUAACUACGUGCCAGCAGCCGCGGUAAAAC